UACGGGGGGUGCGAGCGUUUAUUCGGAAUUAUUGGGCGUAAAGGGCGCGUAGGCGGCUGUGUAAGUCAAAGGUGAAAUCCCUCGGCUCAACUGAGGAACUGCCUUUGAAAACUGCUCAGCUUUGAGGCCGGGGAGGGGGUGGUGGAAUUCCCAGUGUAGCGGUGAAAUGCGUAGAUAUUGGGAGGAACACCAGUGGCGAAGG
rnacentral:rRNA from 1 species